UUCUGCUUGGCUGCUCCCGUGGAUCGUGGUCCGCCGCCGUCUCCGUCUGCCCCUCCCAGCUCCCCCUGCCCCCAGCCGUCCAGGUCCAACGCGUGCGCAGUACCACCUGCUGACCGCUCCGCGCUAGGCCAACCUCGCCGUUCUCCUGCACCCGGGCCCCGGCCGGCGCGCGCCGGCUCUCCCUUGGCUGCUCCCCUGCCAGCCUCCGCCCAGGCCGCCGUGCUGCCGCCGCCGCCGGGCAUUACAGCAUUGGCUAAUUAUUUUGUACCGAGAGGAUGAGUGAGAGGAUGAAGCCAUUCCGCUCCGCCAAGCUGCUACAAACUAUGCGUUUAUGUAUGCGUGAACACGCCAGAGCAGCAACUUCGUUCAGAUAUUGUCCCAAUGCCUUGCAUUUUGUUAUGCACUUCACAUGGCCAGAGCAAAACCAGAGCAGCAAGCAAUACUGAGCCUGAAGGGUUUACAUGAUAGGCAUGCAAACUGGAUGAAAGCAUCUCCUUGGCCAAUUGGUGCAAAUCCAUGCCUGUCGAUGGUGAUGAUGGUUUUUAUCCUACUGGGAAUGAUCUGGUGCUCUUCUAUACUCGGUAGUUAGCUACAUUUGCCAUUAUGUCUAGAUGUGGAUGGUUCAUCCCUUGCAUGGUUAAAACAACUCUGGACAGUAAGUUUAUUACAAAGUAUCGCAUAUUCAAGAUUUUAACUAGGUAUAUUUUGGCUUCUCCAGGAAUAUCAUUUACUCUUUUGACAUAUCAGCAUAAUUUCUAAGCUUCCACUUAAAUAAUUAUUGUUUAUGCACUAAUUUUUCCCUUCAAGAUUCAUGUGCAACAAAGUAGUAUAUGUAACUAUGUGUGCGUGUAACUGAGAUACAAUUUGAAUUGUAGCUAAGGACUCGGGACUAGUGGGCCGUAUGUGUCAAUUUAUGCUGCCCUGUCAUUUUGCCAAACAUCAGAAGCAGAGUAAAACAUGUCAUGCUUAGUGCAGUGUUCUGGCAUCUGAUCUCACCUACCUUCUAAAAAAGUCUGUUCGCAAACUUAAAAAGUUUCUCAAAAAUUGAACACAUGCACAUAUUUGGGUAUUAAGUUCACUUUUCAAAUAAAUUCCGUGCAAAAAGCUACUAUGUUAGCCUUCAUCAUUUUAUUAUUUUUGCACUGCACAAAGAUUUGCAGAUGCAAAUAGUACUCGAAUAUGUACAUGUGUGAUUUUCUUCUUGAGUUUUGAAAAUAUCAAUUUGUUUUCGAUGUAAUUCUCUUGUACAAGGAAAUGGAACAAGGAGGUCACAUCACACCUAGAUAAUUAGGAAAACAGCUGCUCUUUGGUUCUUUCUGGUUGGAGGCAAUUCGGUGAUUCCAAGGGGACAAGCUUAGCAGAGAAACAUUACACCUGCCAUGAUUCCCUUCCAUUCAUUCCAGGAAGAGCUUUGCCAUUACCAUUUCCAUUGCCAUCACCAUGGCUGCCACUCCCGUCUCCCCGGUGUUCCCAGACCUUCCCUUGAUGGCUCACGAUGACAGCAACCACUUUGCCGUGCAGGAUCAACUGUCACUCCCAUAUAUCACACAAAUCCUCAUGGAGGAGGAGGAUGACGUUGAUGAAGAUAACCCUGCGCUCCUCAAAGCCCAGCAGCCCUUUGCCCAAAUCCUCUUUUCCAGCAUGCAUGCCUCCACCUUAAUGGCGGACAAAGGCAGCGCCUUGGCCAGUGACGUGCACUCUCCCAGCUCGGCCAUCUUCAAGUUCAAGGGUGUUGAUGAGGUCCGCAGCUUGCUGUUGCUCGCCAAUGGAGAGUACAACACUCACAUCUUUAGCACUGCUUUCCUCAAGGGCAUGGAAGAGGCGAAGAAGUUGUUGCCCACAAACUGUGAGCUGACCGCCACCGGUGAGCAGUGUUAGGAAUAUGCAACUUGUAUUCCCAUGAGGCCAUAGGCCGAUAUAUAUAUACAUGUACAGGUGUGGAACAUAUGCAGGAAACCCCUUA